AUCAAUUAAACCUAAAGCACUAUCUUGUCGUUGUAAUACUGCAGGUUGUCAAUCCAAAUGGGUGUGAUGCUAACAAUCAAGAUGUGAUCAGAAGUCACUAAGUCAAGCCAAGCAAUAACAGGUUUUGGUGUGUUCUAACAGUGAACAUGCAGAAAACAGAAAAUCAAGCAGAAACAAUAAAACACUCGACCAACACAGCUCUUUGCAGAGCACUAGGUGAGGUCGAGUGACAGGUCGAGUAACAGACAGAAAAUAAAACACAGAUACUCGACUGCAUAGUCUGUUGCCAGACAACUGGGUGGUCGAAUAUGAGGUCGAGUAACAAGAAAGAACUGCAUAAAUUAAGCGACACAUAACAAGAUGCAGUAAACAACAGUAGAGUAAACAAAGAAUUCAAUCAGAUAAAGAAUUCCCGAGGAUGGGGUAAUUGAGUAGUUUCGUUUUCUCAGUUUACAGGUGAUUGACAUGCUCAAUAAAUUAACCCUAGACAACAAGUUCAUUAACCAAAUCUAAGUGUCACCGCAACAGAGACCCUCAAGUUAACCUAGUCCCAGACUCAAUCACCAUUGACGAGAGCUAACCUAACAGGCAUUACGAAUCAACAAGUUAAAGCCAAAACGCUCCCUGCAACCAAUACCAUGGUACAGGGUCACGAAUCUCUGGAAUUAGUGGUUCAGACAUUUCAUCGAAAACCUUUUGGACGCGGAAAUGUCUCGGCUCAAAUUCCAGUUGAUCAGAAAGCAAUAGACAUUAAGAACAACUAAUCCAGAAGGGAUCUAUCAAUCAAUACUCAAUCACCUAGCAUACUGAGAAUUCUACACUACUCUAACCCAUCCUCAGAAACCUAUUCACUACUCAGACAUCAUAACAGAAAGCAUAAACGUUAAACAAGUUGAAAACAUGAUAACAACAGUGUAACAGCAGGAUGAUAACAGAAUGAACAACAGUAAACGAAAUCAAGAACAAAAGCUGAAUACUGAAUACUAAAUAGAUAAAGAGAAAUCCGGAUUACAAAAGGUCUAGAACACAAGGUCUGCGGAAUAAAACUAGAUAAAAACUUGUCUGCGAAAAUGUGAAGUACAUGCUACUUAUAGCCAAAUAUUCUGAAACCCUAAUACUCAAAACGACGAAGUAUUGGGACGGAUUAAGAACUGUACUCGACCCAAGUGGUCGAGUGGGAGGUCGAGUGAAUAACUAGAGUCUUCUUUUCUUCCUUGUGCUCGAGUGUCUGGUUGAGUGCGGAAUGAAGAAGACUCUGAAACUUGCCAUCGAGGGUGUAGUCGAGUGGUGGUGAAGGUGAUACUCGACUUCCAAGUAGAGUGAUGUGGUCGAGUGAUGAUCAGGUAAUGGCGGUGAAGACACUCGACCUCAGGGUCGAGUGAUGUGAUCGAGUGAUGAUCAGGUGAUGGAGAUGAAGACGCUCGACCUCGUGGUCGAGUGGUGAGGUGAUGUGGUGAUGUCUUCUACUCGACAUGGGGGUCGAGUGGUCUCUUGAAAUCUUGAAGCUCCUACUCGACCUCUGGGUCGAGCCAUUUGUCAUGAUCAGGUCCGCUUCUUCCAAUUAGCUCGUCAACAACUCCAAAUCACCUGAAAUCAACACAAAUAUGCAACAUGCAUGCAAACCUAUCCUAAACAUGUAAAGUGAUGACAAAUGAUGAGAAAUGGUAUAAAACAGUGAUGAUAUGAUGCUAAAGUGAUGACAAAUAGAUGCUCAAAACAUGCAAAAUACAUACUUAUCACUUUCCAUAUUGAGUUUACUACAAGCUGAAAAGCAUAUCUUAUCAAGAA
rnacentral:sRNA from 1 species